rnacentral:lncRNA from 1 species
GGAGUAUUGAAACUUUCUCCCCAGCAGAGCUAUACUUAAAUGAUGAGCACUGGUAUUAUGAGAAACUGGUGGCUAGGACUAAGCCCUGUGCCCUGCUCACUUUAUUAUUGUGCCUCUCACUCUUUCUCCCGUAGAGCCUGGGGAAGCACUGAACAGCUCUCGGAGCAUUCUAGCCAUGUUGGAGAUGCUACAGAAUGCUCCCUACCUAGAGGUCCACAAAGACAUGAUUCGGUGGAUAUUAAAGGUAGCAGUUCAUACAUUGCUCUGCUUUUUGUGGCAAACAUUAGGUACUUGUUCUGUGCACAUUGCAGUGUUUCAUAAUGUGAGGAUAACUGGUAUUUUUUUUCUGGUAGACUUUUGAUGCUAUUAAGACCAUAAGAGAGAGUUCAUCUACCAGUCCUGUGGCAGAAACAGAAGGAACCAUCAUGGAAGAGAGUUGAAGAGACAAAGACAAAGCUGAGAGGAAGAGAAAAGCUGAAAUUUCCAGGCUACGAAGAGAAAAGAUCAUGGCCCAGAUGUCUGAGAUGCAGCGGCACUUUAUCGAUGAGAACAAAGAGCUCUUUCAGCAGACACUAGAGCUGGAUGGCCCUUCCUCAGCUGUUCUUGACAGCCGCCCUGUGGUUUCAGGUACGACCUUUCCAGCCCUGGGCCCAGCACAAACGCAGGUCCCUGAACACAGACAGUUUGUCACCUGUAUAUUAUGUCAACGGGAGCAAGAAGUUAAAGUGGAAAGUAAAGGCAUGGUCUUGGCAGCAUUUGUCCAGAGAUCAACUGUACUAUCAAAAAACAAGUGAAUUCAUCCAGGAUCCAGGUAAGUCAUAGCUGGGUGCUCCUCCUCCUCCUCAUGACUGCCAGCUAGUGUGAUUGGUGUUAAUGAGAUUUCGUUAAUCUAAUAACAACUCCAUAGGCUCAUCCAUGGGAGUGACUUUUAC